CAAUAGUGAAGAUGGCGACCGGCGCACGGGUGAGUAACACGUAUCCAACCUGCCGAUAACUCGGGGAUAGCCUUUCGAAAGAAAGAUUAAUAUCCGAUAGUAUAUUAAAACCGCAUGGUUUUACUAUUAAAGAAUUUCGGUUAUCGAUGGGGAUGCGUUCCAUUAGUUUGUUGGCGGGGUAACGGCCCACCAAGACUACGAUGGAUAGGGGUUCUGAGAGGAAGGUCCCCCACAUUGGAACUGAGACACGGUCCAA
rnacentral:rRNA from 1 species